CUACCAGUAUUUUUCAUCAUCUUUUAAUAACUUUAUUUUUUGUUACUGUUAUUGUUUUUCUCUGAAAAUGCAUAACACUCUUGUUGAAAGUCCAGGUUUAAAUAAAAGAGAAAAUCCCCUGGAACUGCUUUGCCAUCCCUCCUUGUUGAAGGAAGGAUGCUGAUGCGUUUUGCUCCCAACACACAUGUUGUGUGGAAACCUGUGCUUUACAGUUUGCUGGUUACAGAUAGCUGGGACCCAGCACAUGGGCCGCUUGAGCUUUGUCUCUCUCCUUUCUUCUGCUCGGUUUGGUAUCCUAGACACCCUGCUUAUUAGUUUCUAUUCCCUGCCCAUCGUUUUAAGGUAAAGUACAUUUUUCAACAGUUUCAGAGAUUCGAACAGUAUUAAUUCAGGAAAGCAUAAUUGUAAAAUUAUACUCACUUGUGCAGUUUUAAUUGUCCUUUUACUUAAGGGGUAGGGUCUUUAAAAAAAAUUACUAGGUCUCCCAGAGACAAAUAUGUAUCCACUGGACUAUCCCACAUUCUGUUCCUUGAACUUCAUAGAGCUGGCCAGAUAGCUUUGCACACUGGAGUAUACAAGUUAUCCCAUGUUGACAGAUGUUUGUCACUUAGUAACUUCUUUCCAGCUUCCCCCCCCCCUCCCCUGAGCCUUCUUUCCAGCCUGCUUUGUUGUUUUAAAAUAUGCACGUCUCUCACUAGAAUGCUAGUCACGAGCCAGUGCAAACUUUGUGUCCAACCUCCCACAUGAAAUGAUCCUGUUAGAAGAAACUGGAUAUGUCUCAAUCUGCACUUCACUCAGAGCCUCUUGGUCCUGGCCACUGUGAGUCCCUGGUCCAGGAUCCAAAGUAACUCAGCAGAAACAAACUUCCAACUAAAAAUCCCCUCGAAUGUCUCCCAGGGAAGAAAUAUAGCUCCUAUAAUUACAGGAGGCUACCGCCGGAGGGGAACGCAGCCCGCAGCCAAAAACCAAGAAAGACCAAGUAGGAAAGAACACAUUCUUCUCCAUUCUUGGCAGAGCAGAGCUGAGAGCAGCACCUGAUACUUAAGCAAUGCUCCCACAAAGGUAAAAUAGAAACAAAACAAAAACAAAAACCCAGGUAGGUAUAAACAGUAAAACUGAAAUGUUGUUGGUGUUGCUGGUGACCUGACACAGGAGAACACAGUUCUCUAACCUUUAGUUCUAUUUGGAUGGAAUUCUUAACUUGGACUUACUGGGUUUUAGAGAUCCACUUUUGAGGAGUUUCGACUUAAAGGGAUCCAAGGCCUUCAUUCUGGAAGGAAACUCCUGGGGAGGGCGCCAGAGGUUAUGCAGCUAGAGGAGCCCAUCUCAGUAGGCCCCACACACAGGUGACAAGAGCACUGGGGGGUGCUCUUGACAAGCAGAGGUUUGAUUUCUCAAAUGAGGAAGACCAAGAAAUAGCUUUCAUUCAUAAUUCAAUUUUAAUUUAAAACUUAUGGGGGGUUGCUUUUCACUGAAAUAAUAGGAACAUUUUAGGAAAUUUCUGACACCUAGAUUUAAAGACCUAUCAAUCUCUAGACAGAGAAUAAAAUACUUUGAAACUAUGGCAUUCUCACCCCCAAGUGCUUCCCUUUUCUUGACUCUAACAUGUUGUCUGAAGUAAUGAACUUUAAAUGAAGUUCACACACCAGUGCUUUUACAAAAGUGCAUCUCCAUGUUGUACUCUUUAAGAAACUAGGUAGAAACAGAAUUUUCCAGAAUUUUAAUAAUUCCAUUUUAAAAAACCCACCACAGUUUGCAUGUGUCUCUAUGCUCUUUUGUAUUCAAAAUUGGCAGGGUGCCUAUAAACUAAAGACAUUAGCACUUAAAAUCAAUUUUCCUUAAUGAAGUAAAGCCAACCUUACACACAAGUAUGUAUUAUACACCAGCAGAGAUUUACAGACGCAAAUAAGCUUGGAGCACUUAAAAAUAUUUAUUGCAAAGUUUUGAAUAUUUUGAACAUGAUAAAUUUGUAUCACAAAAAUUUUUACAAACUUUUAUGUAGACCAGCACAUAUAGAGCAACUACUGUCUAUACAGGCACAGAAUAGACAGACACAUUUUGCACAUGUUGUCUGGAGAUUGCAUGAAAUGAACAGCAGUGGACAUAGCAGUCAGUAAGAAGCUAUGUAUAUGUGGGACAAAUCUAUGUAUUUAGGUACACAUUCUUUUCCUAUUUGGUCUUUAAAAAACUCUGAUGUAUUUUAAGGAAGAAAAUAAACUUUAUAUUCAAUGGUAAAACAUGGACUUCCUUUUGGCAACUCAUAACUUGACCAAUAUUUCUCCUCAUAGUAUGAAGAAUUUUAAGGUUUAGUGAAGGAAAAUGCUGUUCUACUUAAGCCACUUUGAAGCAAUAUUAUUGAGCCUACAAUCAGAUCUACAUGUUAAUCUCUCGUUUUGCCUUCAAACAGAAUUCAGUUACAAAGAACUUGGAAAGAUUUUGAAUCUAUUCAGGAGAGGAAAACUCUUUAAUUUUCUGAGGAGUAAAAACUCCCCAAGAAACUUCAUAUAGCUUCUUAGAUUUUGCUUCGCAUACGUGAUAAAACAUUGAUUGUUGCAGUCUGGUGACCCAUGAAAUUUGGGGGUUAGUUUUCUCUUCAGACCAGAGCAUAUAAUUAUGCAAAUAAAGAGCUGUCACUGAUCUAGUGAAAUACUCACAAACACAUGCACUCUGAAAUUGGACAGAAAAGUGAAAAUGGUUUGUAGUGUGACGGUGCCAUAGCUUGCUUUCCUGCCAACUUUCUAUCUGAGUUCAUUAUUCAAACUGUAAACUUUAAAGAGACAUAUCGUUCUUGGGGUGUUGGGUGUUUUCAUUUCAGAUUCUUGGUUUUAGUCACAGAAUAAGUUAGUUCAAUAUCAUUUUACCUAUGACAACUUCUCAUGUCACCCAGUGUAAGAGGCACAGAAUGAUAAUGAAGCUGAAUGAUCUGGUGAGACAGAUGCUGGACCUCCAUACAUUUCUUCAUAGAAAUAUGUUUCAUAGCUGUUUAAACAAAGUUCAAGUCCCACAAUACAGAGUAUAGUAAGAGGUUUUCCACAAACCCCAAGGCAAAGGGCCAGGGAGAGCUGCCUGAAAGCCAUUAUGGAUUAAGUCAAAUCUUCAUUUUCUAAGUUUUAUGUCCACAGGGAAAAUACUGGCAACACUGUGAUGGCCAGUUAUUGAUCAAACGUGAAGGUUUGAUCUAAAUAGCAAAUCUUUAGUUUUUGUACUUUAUUUCCCAUUAUUAUUCCUUUAAAACUUUUGUGCUGAGAAUUAACACCAUUUCUGCAUUCAUCAGCUACAUUAGUCUUGAGAUCUCCCAGUCCUAAAGUUGCCUUUACAGGCUGUUGCCUAGUUUUACAUGUUAUGGAGGGUCCCAGUGAGGAGAUCCAAGAAGUCUCAUGUCAAAUCACUGACUGCUAAAGACAUCACUUUAUGAGAGAGCAGUGGUGUGAAACUUUAAAAACAUUGAUCCAAAUGAAUCAAUUAAAUCAACAUCCAUCCCUUCUAAGUGUGAGGUUUAAAACUACCAUUGUCCCAUAAAAUAUGCAGAUUUCAAGAUAAAUGCUGGAAUGCUUUGAUAACUACUUCUAUUCCUGGACCUCUCUUAAUGCACUUUAUGCUAUCUCCCCCCCCCCCCGCCCCAAAAUUCCAGUUGGUGUCCAUUCUUCGAGUACAGUGAUGGCAGUUGCAGUGGUUUGAAUUUAAAAUCAUCUCACAAAGCUAACGCUUUAGGCGGGAUAGUUUUAAGCUCUGUGAAGUGUUGAUUAAAAACCCCUCUCCCAGGCCCAAACUUAUUAUUAUUUUUUUUUCCUUUUUGGAGACUAAUAGAACAUUAGAUAAAAGGAAGGUGAACAAUUUAAGAGAUUCCUCCUCAGUCAUUUUAUACAGGGAAGGAAAGUAUUGCAGUUUUUGAAAGGAGUAUGUCUCAUAUGUCUUAGAGUUUUCUAUUUUAUAAUAUUAUGCUAGAGAGCAUUUAAGUAGUCACCACAAUUAUCUCCCUUUUUGCCACCCAUAUUUCAAAAAUAUAAAUAUCUCAUGUUUUUUAAACCUCUCCCCACAUGAGAAAAGUUUUCAAAAAAUUACUGUGAAAAUUUACACUGUGAAAAUUACUUAAUAGCAGGCUUUCUUAAAUGAAUUCAGAGUAUAGCUUCCAACAAGAACCUAUCAGUUAGCCAAUCUAUACACUGAUUACAACAUGUGGGAUUCACAUGUUUGGAUUGGAACUCUAGGCAAUACAGUGAAACAUGAAAAAAAAUCUAGUUUAUUAGCAGUGCUAAUUUAGUUAACACACUCUGUCACCCAACCUCUCAAAGGAGUGCAAGGUUUAGGAAGGAAUAGCUAGCUGUAGCAUAAAUGUAAACAAGGUAGUUUGGAGCGGAACACACUUUGUGGAGCUUUGCUAGCAGUAGUUGGGGAGCAACUUACCAAGCUCCCUUUGGAAAUGUACAGUACUGUUUAUUUUAUAAAACAUUUGAAGACAAGUUUUCUAAUUUCCUUGCUAAGAAGGUAUUUGUAUAUUGAGGAUAUGUGGUAAAAAUGUUACCUACAAGAUAUAUGUGAGCUUGUGACUCAACUGAAGUUAGGAUAUUGCCUUACAUCAGUAGUAGCAGUAAUAUUAUGUCUUAUAAUACUGGUGGCCCUGGCCCAGUCACCCGGCUAGCUUUCAGUCUUAACAGCCUCUGUGCAGUUGGUGAAAAACGAACUGAGGAGGAAGACAGAAGACACAGUUGCUUUGUUGGAAAAUUUUAUUUUAAAAUGGUAAACAAGAUUAUAGGAGGUCCACACUUUAUUAUUUUUGACAUAUAAACAAACAAAAAUGCAUUUCAGGAAGCACAAGGCAGAAUUGUGAGAAAAGAACAAUUAUUACACGUAGAUGGUCUAGCAAACAUCCAUGAUGACUUCCAAGGACUGUGUGUUAGGUACCCGAAAAAGCUCCAAAGCUUGAAUCAGACUAUUUUGAAUUUCCAAUUUAUGUCUCUUUCCAUCUAUUUACUUUAAGAACUAAGUAUAAGAUUUAUUUUUAAAAAAGCUCACACCUUACCUUUCUACCACUGUGUGCCUAGAAUAAAAAUAGGGAGAAGGCCAGAUGAGAAAUAUUAACCCUGGCCUCCCUGUAGGCAGGGUACUGCCAAGUGCUUGUUGUUAUCCCAAGAAAGCUGAGGUGAAUAACAUCCUUACACAUAUACCAACAGCAACCCAAUCAACAGGUCAAGAAAUCCUACAUUGUAAAGAAUCAUUUGUCACUCAUCAGCUGGUGAUCUGGGGUGCUGCGCCUGGCUCCCUCUGGGUUGCUAUAGCACAGAUUCAAAAGUAGUAACAGACAUUUACAAAAUGUAACUUUGUAAAUAGCUCUCUGCUAGACAGAAGACAAGGUUACAAUCCAGUGACAGUAAAGUACUCAUCCCAAGGAAACAGAGACUUUCUCUGAAUAAGGUUUAAGAGUUGCAGAGAGGAACCCGGAGGGCAGGAGCAGGAUACUUUUGUUUGGUUCAUAAGCUGAGCACUUUAACUCUGCUUUAAUUUAGCUGCAGAAGUCUAGCAAAUUUAGCCCUGCAUAGGUUUUUCCAACCUCUACAUGUUGCAAACUCACUUUCUUGUGAACAUUUUCACAUACUGAAAACACCAGACAAUUUAUAACAUUUGGUAAAAUAUAAUCAAUGCACACCAGUGUUUCAAGCCCAGUAACUGGAAAGAUAUUAUUUUCACAGAGUUCACCAAUCCUUCUAAAAGCAGAAAUGUAAAGGGCCACUAUGACAGUUCAAUGUGCUUGACACUGUUGGAGUAACAUAUUUAAACUGCCCAAAAGCUGGAGAAAGCCCCAUUUUGGUUUUUCCUAAGGUACUUCUGCCUAAGUAAUGUCAGGAGAUGCCCAGCCAUGGCACUGAGGACUUUACUGUCCUUACAGAAUUACUGAAUGUAUGCAUGUGCAAAGAGCAUGACAUGUUACCAGUUUAAACCUUGCUAAAAUCAGUUCAUGGGAUGAGAGUAUUCCUCAUGAGGUGGCUGAGCUCAGGUUUUCUUCCCUGUCAUUAGCAACUCAGACUCAUUUUGCUUAUACUGUCUCAAGGUCUCAAACAAGGUAGACAAAUUACUUAUUGCAUUCAUUUUAAAAAGGAUGGAUGUAUUAAAUCACAAUCUCACCAUGCACUGGAUAUAACCUUCACUAAUUAAAAAUUUCAAGUAAUUAAUGUCUAAUGCUUUAAUUCAAAAGCCAGUAAAAUGUCAACUUAUUUUAUCUUCCGCGUUGGCCUUACUGUUGGAAUUACAGGGCAGCGCCCUAUCACAGGAAGAGAACAGUAAACAUUUUGGCCUCAAAAGAGCAACCCAUUCACACUACGCCUCUCUUUUCCUACUGCAGAUGAAAACUGAAGCACAUUAACCCUACUUGGACUUUUGGAAGAAAGAGGUUAUGUAGUUUUAUUUUCUUGAUGAUAGUAAAAAAGUCCUGCAUCUGACAGGGCACGCUACAAGAAAGGUGAAAGUACAGGUUGUAAGGAUCAACAGCCACCACCAUCACCCUGCAUUGGCGCACACAUCGUGUUAUAUAUUUUAAUAGUAAGGUCAGUUCUUAUAAGUAACUGGAAAAUUCACUGAACAUGGAGACUUAUACCUACAUCUAAAAGAUCUGUUUAUAUUUUCCUUUCGACAUUCCCUCCUGAAAUCAGAGACAUAAAGACUGGAGUUCAACUGGGCACAAAUGAGGAUUCGGAUUCGGUACUUCAUGUACAGUUUUUUUUUUUUUGGGGGGGGGGGUUGAAGUGAAAAUAAGUCGUUAUAGGGAGAAAGAACUUGUACUCCCCAAACUACAUAGUCCAUCAUGUUCUGAAUUUAAAGUUGGCAUUUUUAGGACUCGAGUGUGUGGCUUUGUGUAAAAGACAGAGGCUCAUUAGAUGACCUGAGGAAAAAACCUGGUUAAAAUCAAGUUUGAGGUUUAGAAUAAAAGCUUGCUGGGUUUAAAGGGGAUUAAAAAUGGGCACAAUUGAGGCUGGGCAGCGGCGACCGCGCUGCAGCGGGCGGUAGGACCGCGCAGACGCCGCUCGGCCAGCCGCGCCCGCGGAUCAGCCGGGCAAUUAGGAGCGCCCGGCGCUGGCACUCCCGGCGCUUUCAGCCUCGGUCGCCGGGGCCCACAGUGCGAGGCCCGGCUCAGCCGCAGGCAACUCGGCCGCUGAAGCCAUAUUGCUUUGACAGUUGCACUCAUCUAGAAAUAAUGCAAAACGCUAUUUAGACGGACACAUCACGACCCUGCGCUGGAGAAAGAAAGCAAUCUAAUGGGGGCCAGGAGGCUACGGGCGGCGGGCGGGCGGCUGCGCGCUCACAGCUCCUCGUGCUUGAUCCGGUGCGAGCGCCGCGUCAGGGCCGGCUUCUGCGAGCUGCUCUUGGCCUCCGAGGCUUCCGCGAAGAACUUGAAGAUAGACGGGAAGCUCUUCCAGGAAGUGAGCUCGUGACGGUCGGUGCCUGCGGAAACACACACCGGGUUACGAGGGGUCGCACGGGUGUGUGGCCGGAGGCGAGGAGCCCACCCUCCAGGCGACUGCACCGCCGCCGGCGAGCUCGCCUCCCGCUCACCCGCCCAGGUUCCGCCUGUCCCUGGUGUCCCCGGGGCGCGCCACCUAGCGCGCCCCCACCCCCGCCCUUCCUCGCCGGGCUAAAACUUGCUCCCGGGGCCCCAGAGUUACGGCCCGGAGCUCCUGGGGCCCCGAGGCCCUCAGGGCCAAUCCAGUAGCUCAGCGGGAAGGGCCACUCCCUCUCCCGCCCAGAAACCACCCACCUCUCCAGGCCUGGGAUUGGUUUCCCCAGCGUGCAGGAUCCCGAUUCCACCACACCCACCCCGGAGCGCCUCGGUGUCUUGGCUUCCCAGGCAGAAUGGGGGGGAAUAGUUCUUUUUCUGGCCUGUCCUAGUCUCUGAUGUUGGACACGACUGUCUCAGUGAGGUCACUGGGAUCAAAUCACUGGAGAUAUUUAAUGAAAGGACGGAUUCAAAAGGAGACCAGGGGCCUUGAAAGUAUCCUAGGCGGGCCACAUGCUUUACAGAUUUUAGAACAAAUCUAGAAAAGCCAGACAAACCCUGUUUCAAAGCAGAACCACUGAAAGAGCAUUUAGGCCCCCUCUUCAGUCGGGGAAUUCAGAAAAACGUUAGAUUUUCAAUUUACCAGGUUAUUUUACUACAGUUUCUCUCUGUGGUUUUAAUAUUGGGUUGAAUAUUAUACACUAUUCUUCAAACCAAAUGGAACCUUUAGUUUGUGAAAAAGGAAGCAGGUAGCAUGUAGGCAUGGGAAUACACGAAGAAAUAAUAUGGGCUUAAGAAAAAAAAUAUUUGUGAUAGCAUAUAUAAUUUAACCAAUAACUUCAUAAUCAAUUUUUUAAUUAAAAUAAAAAUAAUUACAAAUCCUCCCUCAUAGACAUUAGGAAACAGUUGAAAUCUCAACUGCAAUCACUCAAUUAUGCAGAAUCUGCUUGGAAGUCUCUGAAUUCAGGGCCUCUGAUACUUUAACAUUGUUAAUGAUAAUUCUUUAGUCUGUAAUAGUAGGUCAUUGCUAUGGUUACUCUACAAUGGUGCAACACUUUGCCUUCCCCCUUCAGCUAUUCGCUGAGACCUGGUAACCACAUUUGUUGCCUAGCAACAGCUUUGUGACAGUAUCACAAUCUGGGAGAUAUAACAAUAAAGAUGCUAUGGCUGCACUUGGUUGGCCAGAGAGCAGAAAGCUACAAGUUUGUGCAUGUGACUUAGCUGUGGGAGCUGUCCCUACUGGAGAACUCAUUUCUUGCCAGGUGCCCUUCACAAUGAUGUCUUCGCCCCCUCUUCUCUGGCCUUGUGAACUUGUUCUUGGAACUAAGAUCCAAUAUUGAAGUCAUCCUCUGGAGACAGAGCCUCCUAUAGCACUGUAUCUACACUGAAAAAUGAGGUCAUUUCUCUAUUUGCUUACACAUUUCUGGAAAAAUUCAAUUUAUUCAGUGGAAGGAAUUGGUGAGUAGGUGUUUCACUGGUAAGUCUUAAAGGGCCUGAAUAAAUUCUAAUAAUUCUUAACAGAAUUCUUAGGAAAAAGUCGGACUUCACCAGUAUGUGUGCAAAAUUACAAGUUCUUUAAAACACAUGAAACAUGUUGAUACCAUUAUUGUAUUUUGUUUUACUAAGUUUGUCAAACGAUGCCCACCAUGGAUUCCUUUGAAUUUGGAGGGAAUUAUAUUCUUAAAACACAAGUGUACAGUUCUAGACAUCCUCAAACAUGUCUAUUUCAAGUAAAUGUCAUGAAUAUUUCUAGAAGAAGGCCCUGUCUCUGGGAAGGUUUACGAAGAGUUUGUCUUUUUCUGUAUGGUCUACAAUCUGCUUUCAGCUCAGUACCAAGUAUCAAAUUGCACUCCUGAUGACAGACUAGUUAAUCCGUAUUUGUUCUUUUUGAAUGACCAUCCUCAGAUGCAACAGCUAUUCCUAAGCACCGAGUGUCCCCCAGUAUUAGCUGUCUUUCCUUCCCAUAUCCUAACCUGCUCACAUCUACCAUUUGUCCAUAAGAUCAGCUACACCUGCCAGUGGUGACCAGGUGAGGAUCAAUUUGUAAAGGUCGUGGGAGUCUCCUCUCACAGUUCCUCUUACUCCUUAAAAACCAAUUCAGUCUAUGACUCUGGAGAGACUUUGAGUCAAUGGGCUCAAGCAAUUUUAUCCCCCACUUCCCUAGUGACAAUCUUUCUGAAGGAUGAACAAAUGUCCUUGAUGAUAAAAAUCACUCCAAAAUUCUUUUUGGUUUUGGCUUAUGACAACUCUCUGCACGAGCAGUCUUGCUCUGAAAAGACCAUUGUGCAAAGGAGAACUGGGUACAUGCAGUUGUUCUGAGCAUCUACUCUUGCAAAUAAAGAUGAAAUAAUUAGAUUUUAUGCUUUUAUCAGAAGAGGGACAAUCAGUAAGUAAAGCAGGUUGCCAGCUGAAUUACCUACAUUAGGUAACCGAGUUAGGGCAGGGAACAAAGAAUUCUUUCCAAAGUAAAGUUGGUAAAUUAUACACUGAAGUGUAAUAUAAAAUUUUAUUAGAAAAUAUAACAUCUUAGAUAUAGAGUUACAGGCAAUUAGUGACUGCUGAAAUAGGGUGAAAAAUCUGUCUUCCACUGGGGCAUGCCCUUGCUAAGUUAUUCAGUUCCAAGCACACACACACACACACACACACACACACACUCACAAAUACAUGCAUGUGUACAUUCAAGCAGUACUAGAUGUCUUGACAGCCUCUAUACACACAUCCAUGCAGCAAUAAUAAAGAAGAAGUCAAAAUUUGAGGAUAAGGGGGUAACAUGGAAGGAGUUGGAAUGGGAGGAAAGAUGGGUGGAAAUGCUGUGAACAAAACACUCAUGUAUGAAAAUUUGGAAGUACAUGUAUGAAAUUAUCCAAAAACUUUUUUAAUUUAAGAAAUUCUUAAGUUUUGGAAGUGGUCAUUGUGCAUGUGUUCAUGUGUAUGCAAGAUUGUGUGUGUGCAUGUGAAGGCAGAGAAGGGCCUUGGGGGUUCUUUCUCAGGCACUCUCAUUUGCUUUGUUUUGUUUUGUUUUGUUUUUGAGACCAGGUCUUUCAUUGGCCUUGGGGUAAGCUGGCCAGCUGCUGAAUUCCAUGGCUCUGCCUGUCUCACUCUGCCCUUCCAGUGCUGGGAUUACAAGUGCAUGCCAUCAUGUCUGACUUUCUUUUAUGUGUGUUCUGGUGAUGAAACUCAGGCUCUUUUGGUUGAAAGGCAAGCAUUUUAUCAAUGGAGUCAUCCUCCUAUCACUGAAAGUGAAUUUUUAACAUUCAUAAGUAGCAUUUGGAAGAUACAUAACUACAGUCAUGUCAGUCUUGGUUUGCACACAUCAGUGGGGUUAGAGAAUUGGAUUAGCUGUUAAGCACACUGUUGCUCUUGCAGAGGACUGAGGUUCUUUUCCCAGGACCCACAUGGUAGCUAACAACCACCAGUAAUUCAAGCUGUAGUGAAUAUAACACCCUAUUCUGGCUUUUGUGGGACGUGCAGUGCAGAAAUAAAUUCAGGCAAACACCCAUACACAUAAAUGAAAUGAAAAUAAACCUUAAAAAAUUCCACUGAAUAUUUUGAUAAAUUAAUAUGAAAACCUGCAAAAAUAGUGCUCAAAGAAUGGCCACUUAAAAUAUUUAUUUUCAAAUAAUGUGUAAGCAUGUGUCUGGGUAUGUGCAUGUGAGUGCAUGCUUAUGAGCCAAUAAAACAAGCCUUUUUUUCAUCAGGUUGCUCUUAUUUGGGAAAAAAAGGGAAACUAAGAUACCAGCCUAUAUUCUUGUUCACGUGACCUUAAUGCAUGUUUUUUCCCCCCUCUGUAGAAACACAUAUAAAUGCAAUACUGAUGUAGCUGCAAAAAUCUUGGUCAAAAAUAUUUUGGCAGAUGUAUACUGUUUUGAAGUUGUAACCCACUUUUUUCCCUAGUAUUUGUUUUAAAAAGUCAAAAAUAGGGGGCUGGAGAAAUGGCUCUGUCUUUAAGGAGACCUGAAUUCAAUCUCAGAAUCUGCUCCAGGCAGCUCACAAUCACUUGCAACUCCAACUCUAGGGGACCUAAUGCCUCUCCCCAUCAUGGGCAACUGAACUUACAUAAUUAAAAGUAACAAAAACAAAGUUUCAAAAAGUUAAGAAACAUUGUAAAAGUUAAAACAUUGUAAAUUGAAAUUGAUUUUUUGGUAUGUAUUAUGGUGCUGGGAUUGAGCCCCGGCCGGACCUUUGAACACUUGACUCCCAGCCCAGUAAAAGAAGUGUCAUAGUGUGAAUAACUAUGCACCUCGCACCAUCUACAUUCUAUAACAGAGGGAAAGUCUCUAACAGACAAAUAAAACAAGUGAUAUUUUACACAAACACACACACUUUUGCCAGAUAUUAUGAGAUUUACUGGUAAAUUAUAAGUGAUGAAUAGAGAGUAGAGAUUGAAGAACAUUAUAAUUGUAGAGAAACAUUUACCAAAAAAGAUAAUUCAAAAUAAUUUCUUGGUUUGAUUCAUUGUUUUAAUUAUUACUAGUUACUUUAUCUUAAUGGCCUAAGAUCAAAAGGUUAUGGAAUAAUUCUAACAUUCCAUGUAUAAUUUACAUGUUAGAUUCUGGUUAGAAUAGGGAAUGUCACUGUUCACAAAGUCACCUCUAAAUAUGAUAGUUUUCUUAUAUCUUUAUUUCAUGAAGAACUGUCUAUGUCCCCCUAUUUUAUCUUCUUUGUAGAAUAAUAUAUAUGUAUAUACAUAUAUAUUCAUACACAUGCAUAUAUAUGUAUAUACAUAUAUACAUAUACACAUGCAUACAUAUGUGUAUACAUACAUAUAUAGGUGUGUGUAUAUAUUAAAGCAAAAAAUAUAAUAAGACUAUAUAUUAUAAUAAUAUGUAUUAAAGCAAAAGAUAAAAAACAUUGUAAACUCAUUUGACAAAGGGGAAAAGAAAAUAUGGGUAUAUGAGACACAUUAAUAUUAGCAGGGUAACAUGUCUAUGAUAUUUUCUAAAUGACAAAGUUUGAUUUUAAAAAUUGAUCUUUAACAAGAAAAAAGUGUGUACAAUUAAGAGGCAAUGAAGAUCUUGUCAAUACAGGUAUGCUGAUAAUAACAGGUAGGGGAAUUGUUGAAGGAGUCUCAUAUAUAAAAAAUGAGAGUCUGAAAUAGGUAUUGGUGAGCCGCAGUGGGAUUAACUACUGAAUUUAUGAGCUCACCAACAGUUAUUUCUAGAAUGUUAUGAAGAAUCAGAGAAAACCAGAGCACCAAGAAAUAUUGUGCCUUCUAAAAAGAAAACAAAACCACAGAGAUAUGUCUGAAAAUGAACCCCAGAGUUUCUAAAAAAAAUACAAACUUUAUUUGAACAGAGAAGGAUUGCCAAGGAAGCUCUGUGAGUGCACAGUGAAAGUGUGUUGGGGGUUGGUCUUGUGCACUGUGGAUCCAGAUACUGAUGUCUGUGCCCAGACAUCUGGUUACAGUCCAGACCAUGGUAUGGUCAAGCAUCUUGGGCCUCAUUAUUAUGUAAAAAUUGUUUCUCCAUCACCUCUGAUUAGUUAAUAAAGCCACUUUGCUGGCAGAAAAGAAUAGGGCAAUUCCAGUUAGGGGGUCCCAGAGAGACCAGAGGAAGAGAAGAUGGUAUGAAGAGACCAUGGGGAGAGACCAGAAGGAUUUGCCACCUGGACUCUGAGGAUAUUACAUACAAAACUGAGAAGAGGUAACUAGUCAAGUGGCACACACAGAAUAGAAUAAGGGUUAUGUAAGUUACGAGCUAGUCAGGGAACAAGCCCAAGCUUAUUCAUAAAUAAUUAAGUCCCAGAGUCAUUAUUUGUGACCCGGGACACUGGUAGAAAGGUAGCCACGGUUACACAAGUGUGGGACAGCCACACAGGGAGGUAGAAGACAGAGUAAAAUAUUGAUUGGGACUUUGUGAGAGCAAUACUGACUGCAGCUAAGUCAACACAUUGUUAACAUGGUAGCAAGUCCAUUAACAUUGUGCUGAGACCCUAAAAGUGCGAUGUUAGGUUUGACCUAAGCGAAGAGAUAGGCUAGGAUAUGGACAGAAACACUGGAUGUGGAACCCCCCCCCCCAUUAUCUGCAGCUUCUGGGGAGCCUGUCCUUUUGUUUGUAUACUAACAUGCUGCCAAAUAUCUCUUAGCUCUGGUGGGACAUGAGAAGGCAAUUAGAGACACUAGGUAGUUUAAGACUAUGGAGAUAACUCUGGGAAGUAAACUUAUUCUUGAGGCAGAGUAGAGCCUAAUCUACAGGUCUCUUAUUGAAGCCAAGGCAAACCUUCCUAAUCAGCUCCCACAAAAUCAAUAAAAACAGAUGUAUUUUCAUUAUCUAUUGAAUCUAGACUGCAGGAGUACAGAUGGUUUCUUUCUUUUUUUCUUUUUCAAUUUUGAGACAGGGUCUUACUGUGUAGCCCUGGUUGUCCUGGGACUCACUAUUAGAGUGACCUUGAACUCAUGGACAGCCACCCACUUCUGCCUUCCAAGUGGCAGGGAAUAAAGUGUGCACCACAAUGCCUGGCCUGCCAUCUUUGUUUGAAAUGAUUGUUUCAUUAUAUGUUACCUAAGACUUGGCCUCUAAAGAUACAUCAAUUCCCUUUAAGAGUGGGCAAAAGGGGCUGGAGAGAUGGCUCAGAAAUUAAGAGCAUCAGCUGUUCUUCCAGAAGACCCAGGUUCAGUUCCUAGAAUCUACAUGGCAGCUCACAACCAUCUGUAUCUCCAGUUCCAAAGGAUUCAAUGACCUCUUCUGGCCUCUGUUGGCACUGUACACACACGGUGCACAGAUACACAUACAGGCAAAACUACCUAUGAAAAAAAUAAAAUAAUUUUUAUUUCUUAAAAGGGAUGGGCAAAACCUUCCAUUUUCAGUUGCCGCUUUCUUCUGCUAUUUGAAAUGAUUUAAGUAUUAUUUAAAAACAAAUGUUAUUGAAUAUUUUUAAUGCCUACAGUUUGAUAAGAUAUACAGAGGGUGAAACACCUCUAACAGCUAAAAACAUUUGCUUCACGAAAUCACUAAUUCAACAUGUCUUUUGUCUAACUCUCCUGCUUAGCUCGUGCUCUGCAGGCAUGCUAGGCAGGUAGGGAAACUUGUUCUUGCUAUGCAUUGAGCACAUCAGCUUCUUUUUUCUCCCUUUCCUCCUCACUCAUCAUCAUUCUUGUUCUCUGUCUCUCUGUUUGACUUUUUUUUUUUUUUUUGAGACAGGGUCUCUCUAAGUACCCUGGCCUGUAACUCUUUAUUUAGAUUAGGCUGGGUUCAGCUUCUUGAGUGCUGAGAUUAAAGGUAUGUACCAUUAAAUCUGACUUCUAUUUGAUUUUGAAAAAAAGAGUACCUGUAAGUGAGCAUGUGAUGUUUUUUCUAUGUCUGGCUUUUAUUUUUUUCCCACUUAGGACCUAGACGUCUAUCCAUAUUGUGGCAAAUCCCCAUUAAAACACCAAUGGCGUUUUCCAUGGAAAUAGAAAAAAUUGUACAGAUCUACAAAACCUGACUAGCCAAAGCAACACCGGGAAUAAAAAACAAUGUAUGAGUAUCCCUCUUUCUCCACAUCCUUGCCAGCAUCUGAUGUCACCUGAAUUUUUGCCAUUCUGACUGGUGUGAGGUGGAAUCUCAGGGUUGUUUUGAUUUGCAUUUCCCUGAUGAUUAAGGAUGUUGAACACUUUUUCAGGUGCUUCUCAGCCCUUCAGUAUCCCUCAGUUGAGAAUUCUUUGUUUAGUUCUGUACCCCAUUUUUUAAUAGGGUUAUUUGAUUUUCUGGAGUUCAUCUUCUUGAGUUCAUUAUAUAUACACCGGCUAUUAGUCUCCUCUCUGAUUUAGGAUUGUUAAAGAUCCUUUCCCAAUCUGUUGGUGGCCUUUUUUGUCUUAUUGACAGUGUCUUUUGCCUUACAGAAGCUUUGCAAUUUUAUGAGGUCCUAUUUGUUGACUCUCGAUCUUACAGCACAAGCCAUUGCUGUUCUGUUCAAGAAUUUUUCCCCUGUGCCAAUAUCUUCAAGGCUUUUUCCCACUUUCUCCUCUAUAAGUUUCACUGUCCUGGUUUUAUGUGGAGUUCCUUGAUCCAUUUAGAUUUGACCUUAGUACAAGGAGAUACGAAUGGAUCAAUUUGCAUUCUUCUACAUGAUAACCGCCAGUUGUGCCAGCACCAUUUGUUGAAAAUGCUUUUUUUCCACUGGAUGGUUUUAGCUCCCUUGUCAAAGAUCAAGUGACCAUAGGUGUGUGGGUUCAUUUUUUCAAUUCUAUUCCAUUGGUCUAUCUGUCUGUCGCUGUGGAGAAAGAGGGACAUUCCUCUAUUGUUGGUGGGAUUGCAAGCUGGUAUAACAACUCUGGAAACCAGUCUGGUGGUUCCUCAGAAAAUUGGACAUAGUACUACAGGAAGAUCCAGCAAUUCCUAUCCUGGGCAUAUACCCAGAAGAUGUUCCAACUUGUAAUAAGGACACUAUGUUCAUAGCAGCUUAGUCAUAAUAGCCAGAAGCUGAAAAUAAUGCAGAUGUCCUUCAACAGAGGAAUGGAUACAGAAAAUGUAAAUUUACACAGUGGAGUACUACUCAGCAAUUAAAAACAAUGAAUUUAUGAAAUUCUUAGGCAAAUGGAUGGAUCUGGAGGAUAUCAUCCUGAGUGAGGUAACUCAAUCACAAAAGAACACACAUGAUAUACACUCACUGAUAAGUGGAUAUUAGCCCAGAAACUUAGAAUAUCCAAGAUACACAUGAAACUCAAGAAGGAAGACCAAAGUAUGGAUACUUUGCUCCUUCUUAGAAUGGGGAACAAAAUACUCAUGGAAGGAGCUACAUAGACAAAGUUCGGUGCAGAGACAGAAGAAAGAACCACCCAGAGACUGUCCCAGCUAGGGAUCCAUCCCAUAUACAAUCACCAAACCCAGACACUAUUGCAUAUGCUAGCAAGAUUUUGCUGACAGGACCCUGACAUAGCUCUCUCUUAUGAGGCUAUGCCAUUGCCUGGCAAAUACAGAAGUGGAUGCUCACACUCAUCUUUUGGAUGGAACACAGGGCUCCUAAUGCAGGAGGUAGAUAAAAUACCCAAGGAGCUAAAGGGGUCUGCAACCCUAUAGGAGGAACAACAAAAUGAAAUAAUCAGUACCCACAAGAGUUGUGUCUCUACUUGCAUGUGUAGCAGAGGAUGGCCUAGUCGGCCAUCAUUGGGAGGAGAGGCCCUUCUUCUUGAGAAGAUCAUAUGCCCCAGUACAGGGGAAUGCCAGGAAGUGGGAGUGGGUGGGUUGGGAGUAGGGUAGGGGGAAGGUAUAGGGGGUGUUGGGGAUAGCAUUUGAAAUGUAAAUGAAGAAAAUAUCUAAUAAAAAUGCCUUAAAUUAAAAAACAAAACAAAACAAAACAAAGAAAACAAUGUAGGAGGGACAGUACUUCCUGACUUAAAACUGUUUUAAGAAACUUCAGUAAUCAAAAUAGUAUAAAACAGUGAAUCAGCAUAGAGUCUGAAAAUCAAACCCUGUGUAGUCAACUAACUUUGGCAAGGGUAGUAAGAGGAUACAAGAGGGAAGGAAAAUACCUUUAACAAAUGGUCUGAGAAAACUGAUAUUCCACACAAAAGUGAAACUGGACUGGAAAACUGUGGUCAGAAUAUACUUUAUGAGGAAAGACUCUAUAUUCAAUAAAAAGGGUAAUGUUAAGUUAUUGCAUGAGCAUAUGCAUGUAUGUAUAACUGUAGUAUGUAUUUUAUAUGUGCACGUUUAUGUGUGAUUGUCUCCUUUUAUUAACUUUAUUAUGAAAAACUUGGAAAUAAAAACAUCAUACACCAAAAUUAAAAAAAAAAAACUGGCCAGGAGGUAGUGGCACAUGCCUUUAAUCCCAAUACUUGGGAGGCAGAGGCAGGCAGAUUUCUGAGUUUCAGUCCAACCUGGUCUACAGAGUGAGUUCCAGGACAGCCAGGGCUAUACAGAGAAACCCUGUCUCAAAAAAAAAAAAAUCUGAGUUCAAAGUGUUAUGAUGCAAGGCAAACUCAGCCUUGAGCCCUUGUAAAAUCAAAAAUCAAGUUCAUACUUCCAAGAUUUAUUGGUAUAGAGCAAGCAUUCUCUUUCCAAAAAGGAAGAAAAAAAAAAAGGAAAACAAGAAAAGACUGAACCAAAGAAAGGUAAAAAUUCAAACCCUAUAUAUCUCCAUCUCUGGCACCCAGAGCGAGCGGUUAGUUCUCAAGGGUUGUGGCUCACAUGGUCUCUGCUCAGUGCUUCAGCUUUCUUGUGGCCGAUGUUCCAUGUUUUGUCCUCUGACUUCCUGGGGUCUGCACUGCAUCCAUCAGGAGCUGUCUGAAGCUCUAAUCCUGCCACACACUGUCUGACCACCCCAGGCUUCUUUUGAAAUCUGGGUAAAAUUGUCAGUGAGUUUUUAAGCCUUGCAUUCUGUAUGACUGCAAAAUUUGUAUCCCAUGGGCACAGUUGGCCACUGGUAGAAGUAGUAAGAGACUCAUGCCUUAGGCUGCAUGUCUCAUGCAGGUGGCUGAACAUGAGACAGAUAUUCUGAGGUGGCCUUGUGUGAACACUGCACUCUGGAGCUCUCCCCUUAAAUCAGUCUUUGAACUGAAUUGAACUUUAUAGCUUCAACUUGUGAUGGGUGGGCUGUGUGCCCGAGAUGCCUGUAAAGACACCUUUCCUGUUAACCAGAAGCAAAGCCCUUGAUUUCUUUUCGCCUGUUAUCCUCUUUCUAGCUGGUUCACUCUACUCUCCUAGGCCACAACUUCAUGUGUGCUUCUCUUCUUGGUAAACUAAAAGGUUUCUAAGCUUUUAUUCUUUGCUUUAUGCUCACAAUUCUCACGGUCCUCUUGGUUACUAUACCAUACAACAGUGCAAAUGCUAGACUGCCUUGAAAUUCUUCUACCAUAUUAGCUACUAUUAUUACCUUCAAAUCCAACAUCCCAUGAAGUUUCAGGACAUGGACAAAAUGCAGUCAAGGUGUUGAGCACAAUGUGAAAUGAAUGACCUCAAGCCCAACUCCCUGUAGUGUCUUAUUUCCAUUUGUAACAUCAUAAGAAUAGGCAUAAUGGCCCACACCUGCCAACAUUCAGGUCUUUUGUGCUCCCAUUAGAAUCACAACUUGCAAAGGCUUACAGCAUCCUAGAGUUUCUCUAGCCUGGUUCUUUAAGCUUCCCCAGGUUCCAGAAAACACUGGCAGAGGCUUCUAAACCACAGUAUCAGUAGUCAGAGUAAUAAACCCACAUUUUUGUCCUUUUCUGCAUUUGUCAUGUUUUCUAUCCCUAGAGAGAUUUAUUUUGGCUGAUGUAUCAUGACAAGGAGGGUGUCUAUGGUUCUUGUCAGUUUUCCAUUCUGGUAGAAGCAUCAAACACAAGGUGGGAAUCUAGAACUUCACAUGAACAAAACCCCAAAGAACCAACUAAAUGAAAGACCUGCUAAGUUUGAUAUGGUGGUACAGGCCUUUCAUCUAAAUUACUUAAAGGCUGAGGCAGUUCUCACUGAGACCAGGAAUUCAAGGCCAGUCUUUCAGGAAAGAAGAGUGGGAGGGGAGAGGGGACAGAGGAGAGGGAAAAGAAAGCAUCCUGAAGCCUGAUGACCUGAGUUUGAUCCUCAGAAUCCACAUGUGGGAGGAUUGGGAAAGCCAUCCUCUGACCUUCAUAGUGCCCAUUGGGGUUCCUGUGCAUAUCCUAACUCAAUCAAUCAACAAACAAACAAAUAAGAAAGGAAAGGAGUGAAGGAGGAAGGGAGGGAGGAAGGGAGGGAGGGAGGGAGGGAGGGAGGGAGGGAAGUGGGGAGGGAGGGAGGGAAGAAGGCAGGCAGGCAGGCAGGGAGGAGAGAUGUUGUAUACCUGUAAUAUUAGCACUUGGGAGAUAGAGGCAGAAAGAUGAGGACCAUCAGCAACUGCAUAACAAGUUUGAGGCCAGCCUAGGAAGAUAAUAAAAAAAAAAAGAAAAUGGGAGGGAAAAGAAAAAAAAAAAACAAGAAAACUGUGCCAGCAUUUAUGUUUCAAUUUGAGAAAAAUUGGCACUUUGCAAUGUUAGAUAAUAAAUAUACACGUAUAUGUUUUUAAAAAUUUUUAGUAUUAAAUAUUCAUUGAUGAUAAAGUAAAUGGAUUUUAAAACACUUUACCUUUAACUGUGACUGGUAUAUAAAAUGCAUUUUCAUAUAUUGAACUUGUUUCUGACUAUCUUGCUGAAUUAGCUUUUUUAUAUUAAUAAUGUAUCUCUAGCUGGGAUACUUUUUAUACUAAUAAUGUAUCUCUAGCAUAGUGGUGCACACCUUUAAUCCCAGAUCUAUGAGUUGGAGGCCGGAAUGAUCUGCAGAGUGAGUUCUAGGACACAGAAAACUCUGUCUGAAAACACUGGAAAAAUAUCUCUAGAUUUUGAGUUUUCUACAUAACUAUAGUAUGAAUAAGUUUUUUUUAAUUAAUUAAUUAAUUAAUUUUUUAUUUAUAUGAGUACACUGCAGCUGUCUUCAAACACACACUAUAAGAGUGCAUUGGAUCCUAUUAUGGAUGGUUGUGAGCCAUCAUGUGGUUGCUGGGAAUUGAACUCAGGUCCUCUGGAAGAGCAGUCAGUGCUCUUAACCGUUGAGCCAUCUCUCCAGCCAUAAGUUUAGUUUUGAUUUUCUAAGGAUUAGGUGCUUUAUAUUUUCCAGCUGUAAAACUUUAAAUUAGAAACAAAAGUUUUGUAAUUUAAAGUUUAACCUUUUUAGGGAGGAAAGACUGUAGGAGUCCGGGGAAAUGAAGGACACCAGGAGAAGAUGGGGCAUUAAAUCAUCUAAGCAGGCUCACAUGGGCUCACAGAGAUUGAGGCAGCAAGCGUGGGGCCUGCAUGGGUCUGCACCAGGUCCUUUGCAUAUGUGCUAUGGCUGGUAGCUUGGCGCUUUUGUGAGUCUCCUAACAGUGGAGCAGGUAUGUCUCUUAGUUCUGUUUGAUCUUUGAGACUGUUUUCCUCCUACUAGGUUGCCUUGUUUAGCCUCAUAUGAAGGCUUUGACUUGUGUCAUUGUAUCUUGUUUUGUCAUCUUUACUUGUUGUCUUUUGGAGGCCUGCUCAUUUUUUUAAGGGAAAUGGAAGGGGAGUGAAUCUGAGUUGAGGGUGGAGAGGACCGGAAGGAAGGGGAAACUGUGGUCAGCAUUUACUGUAUGAGAGAAGAAUCUAUUUUCAAAAAAAAAGUUAAAUUAAAAGCCCUUAAACUAUAAACAAAGCAGAGUCUAAUACACUGAUAACUAUAGCUAGAGAGUGCAAUUGUUAUGAACAUGUAAAACUUGCAUCAAGUUAUCACCUCAUGCUCUGUUUUUUGCUGGUUCCAGAUGAUAUAUUUCUGGGAGAGCAUCUCUACCCAUCAGGCAUUGCUGGUUGUUAUUGGCUAGUGACCAAGCAGUAUCCUCAGGAGAAAUCACGCUGGUUUUCAUAUUGCCAGUUACAUAUCUGAUCUGGGAUUCUUUUCAUCCUGCUUAAAGCUAUGCAAAAAUAUGGAACUGUUGCCUACCUGGUUUGCUGUAUUAGCUCCCUCUGUAGGUCAGGCAAGUCUUGAACUUAUGAUCCUCUUGUUUUAAGUGCUCAAGAAGUGAGGACUAAAACUUGCAUCACAGACCUAGCUCUUAGAAAAAUCAAAUACUGCCUUUUACACGGCAAGAUUUCUGAAAAGACGUUGAGCUUAUUUACAUGGUAUAGCUUAAUAUAUUCACAGACCUAUCAUGUAAUAAUAGCAAAUUGUACUGUUGAUUACUUUAUGAAUACUAUCAGGUAAUAUUACAGAGGACAAGGAGAAUUUAUAAAUAAUUACACUGAAUAUAAACUUUAACUAAGGAAUGCUUGCUGAUAUAACUGCAUACAGCCAGCUAUGACUAAACAAUGACUAGGAAACAUUUUAAAGGUUGUUUAUAGUCACAUAUAUAGCAUUUAUGUGGAGAUGUCUUCGGACAUAGCUGUAGCUGGAUUUUUCACAUAGAGGCCUUCUCAAACUGUUCAGAUGACCCCUGCACAAAUAUCUUUCAUAAUUUAUUACUGAUAAAAUUAAGUUUUCUUUCUCUGGUAUUAAGUUUACUUCUAGAUUUGUAAACAUUUACAAUCUUGGGUUUGAUACACAGUAAUAGAAAAUGAAUAUACUUAAGAAAUGAACUUAAAAUGAAUUUAAAUGUGAUACAGAAUUUGGCAAGAACAUACUGUUUCCAUUACUUUUGUUUUAUAUACUGGCUAUACCCAAUACUUCUACUUCUACUACUACUACUACUACUACUACUACUACUACUACUACUACUACUUUGUGGACAGGGUUUCUCUGUGUAGCCCUGGCUCUCUUGGAACUCACUUGGUAGACCAAGUAGGCCUUAAACUCAGAGAUCUGUCUGCCUCUGCCUCACAAGUGCUGGCAUUAUAGGCAUGUGCUACCAUUGUCUGCGAAUUUUUGAUGUUUAUUUUAUGUGUAUGGGUGUUUUGUUUGCAUGUAUGCCUAUGUAACAUAUGUGUAUAGUUUUCACAGAGUCCAGAAGAGUGUCUCAGAUCACCUGGAGUUUUAGUUAUAGAGGUUUGUGAGCCAUCAUGUUGGAAUUCGGAAUUAAACCUAGGUCCUGUGAAAGAGCACCAGUGCUCUGAACUAGUGAGGCAUCUUUCGCAUCUUUCCAGUCCCAUGUAUAAUACUUACAAUUUUAUCACUUAGCUAUGAAAGUCCUUCUUUGUCAAGUAAUUUAAUAUUAGUGUGAGACUUAUAUUUGAUCAUAUUAAAGUAGCAAAGGAUAGAGAUUAUUUUCCAGAGACUCUCAGAUACUUUUUGGGUAUCACUAUAGGUUUAUGACAUCUACUAUUUUAUUUUUAUGUCACAGAGUAAAUUUAAAAAAUCAUCCUGAAAGGAACAUCUGCUUUUAAGACUAAGGUGGAAGGUUAAUCUACACAUGAAGAAUAAUGUUGGCUUAUGGGAAGAAAGUGUUUUGCAUUGGUCAACAUUUAAUGUUUUUAGACCAAAAUUUAUAACUACCAGUAGAAAUACAGGCUUUUAAAAAAAUCUUCCUAAAGGAAGUUGCACAUGAAGAUUUAGUAUCAAGACCCAGACACUUUAAGAAUUCCAACAUAAAGAAUGCCAUAAUUUGUUUACCAGAAAAUUGUAGCAUUUACAAAUUAUAAUAAAGUGAGAUAAGGCAUGGUAAAACUAUACUAGUGAUUUAAGAAUAAAAAUUGUUUCUGCUAGCCCUCAGGGUUUCAGUCCUUUUCCCUCACCCAGUACCGCCAUCAGGUUUCCCUCUCCCCAUGGUGGUGGUGACCAUCCAGCCUACUGUCUCUCCCAGGUCCCUCCCUCUCUCCCCACUGUGAUUGCUUUCUUCUCCCUCUCAAGUGGGACUGAUUAGUCCUCACUUGGGUACUUCAGCUUGUUGAGCAGGCAACCUCAGGAAAUAGGAGGUUGGGGGAACACCCCUAGAAUGCACCAGAGACAUGGGAGGUGAGAGACUUCCAGGACUCAAAGGCAGGGAUCUUAGAUAAAACACCCUACAGUAGGGAAAGGGAACUUAUAGAGCCCACCUCCAGCAGGAAGACAGUGCAUCAAGUGGAGGGAUGGGGAUGCAAUACCACAGUCACACCUCUGACCCAUAAUUGUUUCUCUGUGAAAGAAUUACAGGGAUGGGCGGGGGUGUAGGGGACUUUUGGGAUAGCAUUUGAAAUGUAAAUGAAGAAAAUAUCUAAUAAAAAUAUAUUUCAAAAACAAACAAACAAACAAACAAAAAAGAAUUACAGGGAUGGAAAUGGAGAGGAACCUGAGUUAAAGAAGGUGCAGUGAAAAGGCCAAAAGUAGGGUCCAGCUCAAGGGGAGGUCCCAAGGCCUGACACUAUUACUGAGGCUAUGGAGAGCUCACAAAACUAGGGACCUAGCAUGACUGCCCUCCAAAGGACCCAACAAGCAGCUGAGAGAGUCAGAGGCAGAUAUUUGUACCCAACCAAUGGCCAGAAGUAGCUGACCCCUGUGGUUGAAUUAGGGAAGGCUGAAAGAAGGUGAGGAAAAGGCGAUCCUGUAGGAGGACCAGCAGUCUUAAUUAAUCUGGCCCCCAAGAACCUUCAAACACUGGACCACCAAACAGACAGCAUACACCAUAUGAUAUGAGGCCCUCAACACACAUACAAUAGAGGACUUCCAGGUCUGUUCAUUCAGAGAUGAUGCACCUAACCCUCAAGAGAAUGGAGGCCUCAGGGAAUUGAGGUCAGGUGGGGUGGGGGUGGGGUGGGGAGGAGGUGAGGGAUGUGGAAGUCAGAGGGUGGAUAGGGGGUGGGGAAUGGAAUAUGGAGUGCAAAAAAUAAAUUAAAAAUAAAAUAAACUUUGUAACUUUUUCUAUGGGUAUCUUGUUCCCCCUUCUAAGAAGAAUUGAAGUGUCCACACUUUGGUCUUCCUUCUUCUUGAGUUUCACGUGUUUUGCAAAUUGUAUCUUGGGUAUUCUGAACUUCUGGGCUAUUAUCCACUUAUCAUUGAGUGUAUAUCAUGUGUUUUCUUUUGUGAUUGGGUUACCUCACUUAGGAUGAUAUCCCCCAGAUCCAUCCAUUUGUCUAAGAGUUUCAUGAAUUCAAUAGCAGAGACUAAGGAAUGACCAUCCAGAAACUGCUCCACCUGGGGAUCCAUCCCAUAAACAACCACCAAACCCAGGCACUGUUGCAGAUGCCAACAAGAGCUUGCUGACAGGAGCCUAAUAUAGCUGUCUCCUGAGAGGCUGUGCUAGUGCCUGACUAAUACAGAAGUGGAUGCUCACAGUCAUCCAUUAGACGGAGCACAGGUUCCCCAAUGAAGGAGCUAGAGAAAGUACCCAAGGAGCUGAAGUGGUUUGCAGCCCCAUAGGAGGAACAACAAUAUGAACCAACCAGUAGCUCCAGAGCUCCCUGGGACUAAACCACCAAUCAAAGAAAAUACAUGGAUGGACUCGUGGCUCUAGCUGCAUACGUAGCGGAGGAUGGCCUAGUCAGUCAUCAAUGGGAGGAGAGGCCCUUGGUCCUGUGAAGGUUCUAUGCCCCAGUGUAGGGGAAUGCCUGGGCCAGGAAGCAGAGUAGGUGGGAGCAGGAGGACAGAAGAGAGGAUAGGGGAUUUUCGGAGGGGAAACUAGGAAAGGGGAUAACAUUUGAAAUGUAAAUAAAAAAAUCUAAUAAUUAAAAAAAAGGAAUAGGAGCACAAGUUUCUAUCUUAUGUAAAGGUUUGUCAAAUUAGUAUGGCUCAGUUGCCUAUGUAUGUAGUGCACCUGGAAAUCUAAAGUCAAUAUGAAGUGUUUAUUUAAGUGUGCCUAGAAAACUAGCUCUGCCUUCCAACUGUAAAAGAAAUAAAAUUUCACCCAUUUCAAAAAACAAAAAACUAAUAAAAGGAAAAAAAUAAAAAAAUUGCAAUGACACCGUAUUGUAAUGACACUAGAGUCAUAAUUAUCUUUGCUUGCACAGUGGUUGCUUACUCCUGCUUUCUGCUGAAACACACUUGAGAUGUAGUAGAAUAGAGAACUAUGUAAAGCGCAGAAGCCAGCAGAGAAGCAAGGCAGAGUAGAUAUGCUUAUGAACAGUUACUAUUUUAAUUUAUGGUCAGUUAGAAUCAUAUAUUAUAAAGUUAGUGAGUAUAUUCUUUGGCAAGAAAGUGGAUAAUAGAUAUUUUUGCUAAUUUUGUGCAUAGCAAUAUGCUUUAAUACUCACUGCAGAAAGCCCAAGGCCUAAACAUGGUAUGUACUCAGAAAGAUGGACUACAAGUGAAGGAAGAAAUGCAUAAAGGAGUCCUUAUAGGGAGGAAGGUUAAUAUUUUCUUAACAGGAAAAUCAGAUUUCCUGUGCUGCAGUGUGGCUGGCCUUUCACUUUCUUUUAUGGUUCCAAGAGCGCGCCCUUGCACCAGCACCUCUGCACAUAUAGAUGGCUUCCAGUUUCACAUUUCGAUGGUGUUUCCGAGUGUGUAAAUGAGUGGAUCUCUGAUUCUUAUGGCUUCUCUUCAGCUCUUUUCCUUGUGUUGAUUUGUCCUGUCUAACUUUAAAGUGGUAGUUUUUCUUUUAUGUUACUGUAUUAUAUUUAAAUAAUGAAUUGAAUCAACUAGGUCUUAACAACUGAAUUUGUACUGUCUCCGAUGGAGUGACAGUGGGCAUGUAUGCCACACUCAUAUUCAGAAACAGUUGACUAACAUAUAAUACUCACCACAGAUUUUUGGUUACAGUGAUUUUUUUUUUCUUUUUGGGUAUUGCUCUGUUUUCUUGGUUGUAGAGAGUUUUGUUAUAUUUGGGUUUUGCUUGUUUGUCUUUGACAACGAACUUAAGGCUGGGCGACUAAGGAGGGUUAGGACCUGGAAGGACUUGAGGAAUGGAAGGAAUAUGAUCAAAUACAUUUAAACUUAAAAAA